rnacentral:rRNA from 1 species
UACAGAGGUCCCGAGCGUUGUUCGGAUUCACUGGGCGUAAAGGGUGCGUAGGUGGCAUAGAAAGUUUGAUGUGAAAGCUCAGGGCUUAACCCUGAAAUGGCAUUGAAUACUGCUGUGCUGGAGGUUUGGAGGGGGGACUGGAAUUCUUGGUGUAGCAGUGAAAUGCGUAGAUAUCAAGAGGAACACCAGUGGCGAAGGCGAGUCCCUGGACAACACCUGACACUGAGGCGCGAAAGCUAGGGGAGCAAACGGG